CGGAGCUACCAUGCAGCCGAGCGGUAUAGAUCUUUCGGGAUCUAGAGAGCGGCGUACGGGUGCGGAACACGUGUGCAACCUGCCUUUAUCUGGGGGAUAGCCUUUCGAAAGGGAGAUUAAUACCCCAUAAUAUAUCAGAUGGCAUCAUUUGAUAUUGAAAACUCCGGUGGAUAGAGAUGGGCACGCGCAAGAUUAGAUAGUUGGUGAGGUAACGGCUCACCAAGUCUACGAUCUUUAGGGGGCCUGAGAGGGUGAUCCCCCACACUGGUACUGAGACACGGACCAGACUCCUACGGGAGGCAGCAGUGAGGAAUAUUGGACAAUGGGUGAGAGCCUGAUCCAGCCAUCCCGCGUGAAGGACGACGGCCCUAUGGGUUGUAAACUUCUUUUGUAUAGGGAUAAACCUACCCUCGUGAGGGUAGCUGAAGGUACUAUACGAAUAAGCACCGGCUAACUCCGUGCCAGCAGCCGCGGUAAUACGGAGGGUGCAAGCGUUAUCCGGAUUUAUUGGGUUUAAAGGGUCCGUAGGCGGAUGUGUAAGUCAGUGGUGAAAUCUCACAGCUUAACUGUGAAACUGCCAUUGAUACUGCAUGUCUUGAGUGUUGUUGAAGUAGCUGGAAUAAGUAGUUGUAGCGGUGAAAUGCAUAGAUAUUACUUAGAACACCAAUUGCGAAGGCAGGUUACUAAGCAACAACUGACGCUGAUGGACGAAAGCGUGGGGAGCGAACAGGAUUAGAUACCCUGGUAGUCCACGCCGUAAACGAUGCUAACUCGUUUUUGGGCUUUUGGGUUCAAGACU
rnacentral:rRNA from 1 species